CAGACUUUGACAAAGUAAGGACCUCUAUAUAGAAUAAAAAAAAACUCCUUCAAGUCUUGCAUUUGUUUUUUUUUCAAAAGUUUCUACGGCGCUCCCUUAAAAUAUUAAUAUUGUGGAAACAAGUGCCUAUACAACUGAGGAAAUACAAUUCGAAAAAUCUGGAAAACAUAGAAAUGGAAACUCACUCAACCAAAAACGGAUUAAGUGGAUGGCGGGGACGACAAAAAGGUCGGCAAAGAGGCGCAAAAACUUGACCAGGCCAACGAUGGCUGGUGGGGAAUUAUUAUGCAGCAGCAAUUACUCGCCAAUUGUCGUCGCAAUGAGAUAGAGAGCGAAUGGCUAGCGGACUGGCAUCGAGAAUGGGAACGGGAACGGGAACAAAAGGAGAAAAAGCUGUUCGAAAAGGCGAUAAUCCAGUCGGGAACGAUGGACGCCGAGGAUCGCAAUGAUCAAACGCGUCUGCCAGCGUCAGCGGUUUUGGCCCGGCCGGUUAUGACCAAAUGCAGAGGAUUUGCAGUCGCCCCCUGUGAUUAUUUUUAUUAUAAUUGCGCGUUUAUUGGCGUGAGGAUAUGUUGCCACUCGAAUCCGUGGGGACACCACACAGCAAUGCCGCAUCGAGUCUACAACUGCUAAUGACGACGACACCUUGGACGACGAUACCCCUCUGGCCCACCGAUUCCAUCAUCUCUCUGGACACUGGACAAUCCGAAAACAUCCCACUAAUUUUUCCUUAUAUGUCCAAAGUGGUACACAAACGGCAAACGGCAAAUCGGCUUUGAUUUGUGUGGCAAACUUGGCGCUUGUUGUACAGCAUUUUUGCGUCUCUUAAACGUAGCAUUUUCCUCUGCAUUUGUUGCUCUUUAGUUUAUAGAUUUUAUAGGCCUUUGGGUUAUAGAUAAGUCAUGUAAAGAUUGGCCGACAAGACAUGUAAAGAGGAUAACUAGUAAUGUAAUAAAUAAAUAGGGUCUUGGCAAAUUACUUAAGUUUCAAAAUAAUUUUAUUUUGCUAAGCACUAAACGAAGCUUCUUACAUUUUUCCAAAUGAUAUUUUUUCGAAUUGACUUUCCAUCAAUGACUAGAAAAGUCAAGAAAUAAGUUCACUUUAUCUAAGGCUUAUCAAAUCCUCAAAACAUCAAUUAUGUGAAACAAGUAUUAAUCAUUAAAAAGAUAUUGUACUUCAAAGUUAAUGGUUUUUUAAAAUGCCCUAAGGCCACACCAACCAUAUGAACUUUACAGAACUUAACAAAAACCCAAAAUAAACUAAAAAUGUUUUUGCUUAUAUCAGAUUUUCCUUAUUGUAACAACUAAUGGCUUAUUUCCCACUUGACGUAUCUAUAAUCUCGAGCGGCGCCUCACCUUCAUUACCUCAUCAAUUAUUUCAAGGAACUGCAAAUCAAUUAGGAAGUGCAUUUAUAAUAACCCAAUCCACACUUCGAACUUUAGUAUACUAACUGUUUAAGUAGAUUUCGAAUCAACCAAUUGCCGUUGGCGCCAACAGACGUAACAAAGCCGUAAAGCUGUUGAAAAUCUUCUUCAAAUAAUUAACUAUUGAACUGAAAAGCAAUUGGAAAUACAAAAAAGUGUUUUACAGAUGGAAAUCUUGAGCAAUCGCUAGACCCUCUACGGCCUGACACAACGAACUUAUUUAUUAUAGUUGAGAAAAAACACUUGUAAUGCUCAAUUUUUUUCACAGUUAAGAGAGACGUGUUUGGUUUAUGAUUUGAUUUGACUUUUAUCAAUAGUUCAAUUGGUACUUAUUUAAAAAUAAGCUAAACAGCAUAAAUUGUUCAAAAUUUAUUUAAUUUGUAGAAUCAAAUCUUUUCAAUACAAAUAUGUCAAAUAUUUUGUUUUUAAAUUAUCUAAACAGCUCUACUGCAUCAACAACAUACAGAAAAAUUACUACAUUUAAUAAAAUUGUUUAGUUAUGUGUAAUUUAACUUUUAUUCAAAA